rnacentral:rRNA from 1 species
AUAUCGACGGGAUGGUUUGGCACCUCGAUGUCGGCUCGUCGCAUCCUGGGGCUGGAGUCGGUCCCAAGGGUUGGGCUGUUCGCCCAUUAAAGCGGUACGCGAGCUGGGUUUAGAACGUCGUGAGACAGUUCGGUCCCUAUCCGCUGUGCGCGUAGGAGUCUUGAGAAGGGCUGUCCCUAGUACGAGAGGACCGGGACGGACGAACCUCUGGUGUGCCAGUUGUUCUGCCAAGGGCAUGGCUGGUUGGCUACGUUCGGGAGGGAUAACCGCUGAAAGCAUCUAAGCGGGAAGCCUGCUUCGAGAUGAGGACUCCCACCUCCUAGAGAGGGUAAGGCUCCCAGUAGACGACUGGGUUGAUAGGCCGGAUAUGGAAGCACGGUAACGUGUGGAGUUGACCGGUACUAAUAGGCCGAGGGCUUGUCCUCAGUUG